UUCUCCAGGUGUUUCCUUGUCAAGUACAUACCCAAUGUGUCUCUCUGGUGGAAAAUUUAUCUCUAUAUAGUGCUGGUUGACCCCUUUUGAUCUGCAUAUGGCCUAUGCUUAUCAAAUAUCUCAUUGAAAUCAAUAGGUAUCCAAUCCAUUUGUUCAAACUCCCAUAGUGGUUUAGCAUUUGCCAGGCUUCGAACUUCUGAUGUUUCUGAUUUAUCACUUUUUAUGCACCGGGA
rnacentral:lncRNA from 1 species